UACGUAGGGUGCGAGCGUUAAUCGGAAUUACUGGGCGUAAAGCGUGCGCAGGCGGCUAUGCAAGACAGAUGUGAAAUCCCCGGGCUCAACCUGGGAAUUGCAUUUGUGACUGCAUGGCUAGAGUACGGCAGAGGGGGAUGGAAUUCCGCGUGUAGCAGUGAAAUGCGUAGAUAUGCGGAGGAACACCGAUGGCGAAGGCAAUCCCCUGGGCCUGCACUGACGCUCAUGCACGAAAGCGUGGGGAGCAAACAGG
rnacentral:rRNA from 1 species